rnacentral:lncRNA from 1 species
GGGAAAGCAAAGGGAAAUGAGAAUGGAGAAAAGUAUUUUCUAGAUAAAGCAGUUGGAUUUGAUGGGUGAGCCAGGAGACCAGCAGCAGGGAGGGUGGGUGGUCCAAUGGGCAGAGUUAUGGCUAGGAAGUGAAGAGUCAAGAGCCCCUGUUUCACCCACAGUCCAUGACUGUAGGAUCCAAGGCAUGACCCCUUCCCACAGCAGUGCCCCUUUAAGAGAGGGAAAUGUGAUCAAAAGGGUAAGAAGGGUCCCUUGCUCCUGGAGGGGAACUGCUGGCCCGUCUGCCUGAUAGCCACUGGAGGCAGGCCUUGGUUAGGCCUUCCCACUGACACCCAGUGGGACGUGAUGGCAGAGCAGUUGGUGCUUUUGUCAACAUGCUGCUUCCAGAUCUUCAGGUUACUAUUAAAAUCCCACCAAACCCUGCCACUGGCGUCCGUCGGGCUUUGUGGAUUGAUUCAGAUUUAAGGUGCGCCCCUCUAGGCCUUAGCACUGGAGGUGGAAAGAGCAGAAGAGUAAAACUUGGUCUUGGGGUCCCCAAAUUCAGAGGGAGUGACCGCAACAGGUAAGGUGACAGAUUCUAAACCAAAUUAUGUGAUACAGAUCAUGAAUGGUUUGCUUAUUCCAAAUUAGCACCAACCCUAAACAAAACAGAUAAACUGAAUCCUAAAAUGUACCCAGUAUGUUCACACUGGCCUAGGCUGAUAAUAAAUGUUCU